rnacentral:lncRNA from 1 species
GGGGGUAGAGGGGUCGAGAAGGCCAAGUAUGGGAUUUUCCCCUUUUCCGGCCACCACAGAUGGCGGUGCCGUCGUCGAAGAUCGACGGUCGGCGCGGUGACCGACGACCUGCCGAUGGCCGGAGCCCUGGCCGGACAAACUAGGGGGAGAGUUUUUUUUGAAGGUUUUUGUUUUUUUUUAAAAAAAUUGGCUUUGAAAUGAUAUUUUUGGUAAGAUUGGGGCUUUUAUAGGGUACCAAAACGGUACCGUUUUGAAGAGGCCCCAAACGCCCAAAACGGCGUCGUUUUGGAAAUCCGACCCGAUCCGGCCUAGGAUCCGCGUGUUUUUAUAAGGAGGGGUAAAUUGCACUUUUAGCACCUCCGCCUUUUAAUAUUCUUGCAAUUGAUUUUUUUUUACUUUUAAAAUUUGUCCCUUUAAUUUUUCUUUGAUUUCAAUUUAAU